rnacentral:rRNA from 1 species
AGAGUUUGAUCCUGGCUCAGGAUGAACGCUAGCGGCAGGCCUAAUACAUGCAAGUCGGACGGGAUUGGGAGCUUGCUCCCAUGAGAGUGGCGCACGGGUGCGUAACACGUAUGUAACCUACCUUAAUCAGGGGGAUAGCCUCUCGAAAGAGAGAUUAACACCGCAUAACAUGAUUAGAUAGCAUUAUCUGAUCAUCAAAUAUUUAUAGGAUUAAGAUGGGCAUGCGGGACAUUAGCUAGUUGGCGGGGUAACGGCCCACCAAGGCGACGAUGUCUAGGGGAUCUGAGAGGAUGACCCCCCACACUGGUACUGAGACACGGACCAGACUCCUACGGGAGGCAGCAGUAAGGAAUAUUGGUCAAUGGACGCAAGUCUGAACCAGCCAUGCCGCGUGCAGGAAGACGGCCCUACGGGUUGUAAACUGCUUUUGUACCGGAAUAAACUUUGAUACGUGUAUCAAGCUGAAUGUACGGUAAGAAUAAGGAUCGGCUAACUCCGUGCCAGCAGCCGCGGUAAUACGGAGGAUCCAAGCGUUAUCCGGAUUUAUUGGGUUUAAAGGGUGCGUAGGUGGCUAUUAAGUCAGGGGUGAAAGACGGUAGCUUAACUAUCGCAGUGCCUUUGAUACUGAUGGGCUUGAAUACAGUUGAAGUGGGCGGAAUGUGACAAGUAGCGGUGAAAUGCAUAGAUAUGUCACAGAACACCGAUUGCNGGCAGCUCACUAAAGUGUGAUUGACACUGAGGCACGAAAGCGUGGGGAUCAAACAGGAUUAGAUACCCUAGUAGUCC